AGUUUACGUGCCUUUUGGCGGUGCCGAGAGAGAAUUGUGGAAAGAGCGGACGGAGCUGGUUGCGACGGCACAGGCAAAGGCGAAGGCGGAGCUGCGGGAUCGGGAAGGAGGAGAGAGGCUUGAGCAACAGGCUUUGCCACGAACAGAAGACCCAAGAAGAGGAAGAAGAAGCAGGAGAAGCAGAAGAAGAAGAAGCAGGCGCAGGCGAGGCGGCAGAACAACAACUGAGCUGCCUGGCAAUAUUAUCCGGAUGUUAAGCUUCCGCUGCGCUGGCCGCAACUCUGUGUCGUAUUUGCGCUUUUUACGGUUGUUAACUUCGCCAUUGUGAGCCCACCGUAACGAAUCUAAUAUGCUCUGCACCGAAAACGGCUAUUGCAAUAGAAUUCCACCCGUACAGCGACUUGAGCGGACAUGUCACGCGCUUUAGCGGUAAAAGUCUUUACAUAGAGCUCUAUGGCCCACCCUCCCGUUACGCGAAAGGAGAUCCUUUUCCAGGUGACCCAGCCGCAGAGACUGGAAAUUCAUAGUGUAGCGUAUAGAGAGCGGUGUAGUGUACUUUGUUUAUUUUUAUCAAAACUGGAUUUUACUACGGUCGGCUGGCUGGGUCGCUUGGAAAUGGAGCUGGAGGGAACGUACAAAAUUCACGCCACGCCAGUGGAGCCACCGCCACAGCGCACAUACAUAUGUACAUUUCUAUAUACAGACGAGGGUGUGUGGGAACAAAAGCUCCAGCUGGAACGAUCGUGAGCCUGGAACCGAAGACUGUAUCCGUUGUCUGUAUAUGUGUACACACGUACAUAUUAAUGUUUAUACGUGUAUGCUUGCACGUUUCGGGUUGAGUCUCCUCUUCUUGGGACUGCGAAAAUGCAAGUGAAGCAGACAUGACAAGUGGCGACCGGGGUUAUUUAUCAGAUCUUCUGUAGCUUUGCGGUUGGGUUUCAGCCUGACAUUUGAUCCUCGCCGCAAUUUAUACUCGUCUUUCUACCCACAGUGCGAAAAACACACACACACAUUCGUAUGCACAAUGUACGUGGACAGACAUGCGGCCAAUAAAUGGGAAUCCAACACCGUAAUUGGCCAUUUUCAAGAACGCCUUGCAAAGAAAACUGGGGAAAAGAUACAGACAUACCUAAG
ensembl:ncRNA asRNA:CR43723 antisense RNA:CR43723